UACUAUAUGCAAUAUUGAAUCUUGAUUCCCUCCUUAUUUAUUCGUACACUGAUUUUUUCUACUUGCCUUAUGGUGCUUAAUAUUUUCGUUCUAUUUUGAUUCCCUUAAUUAAUGGGAGUACUUCUUUGAUUCUUUGAUGAUUGAUUAUGAGUUCCUCAAUUAACAUAUUUCUGUGAUUGUUACCUUAUUUUACCACCUAACUCCAACAAUAAAUACCCUAAGUCUUUACACAAAAGAUAUGACAGUCUUCUGACUUACACACACUGAAUACACUUCAGAGCUUAACUUAAUUCACAGAACUUCUUAUAAAACCUUUUUCACUUUGGCUCUCGCAAGACUUCUGCUUUUAUUUAUUUUUUCCUAAAAUUGGUAUGUCCUAGUUUUGAUUCUAGCAUCAACCCCAAUGGUUUACUUACAAGCUCUUAUGUCCAUGCCUACUUUACUGUUCUGUAGAGUUCAACUUAUAUGGUAGUAUGCUUAUGUCUUGCUAUGUGUUACUGCAAUGAAUAUCAUUCCACAUACCUCUUUUUGUGUGCUUUAGUUGUGAUUUAGGACAUGAAAAUGCACAAAGUUAUUGCCCAUGGAUUAAAACUGGAUCUUUGGGAGCCUAGGCUCUUUCAAUUUCCCAUACCCCAUUCCCUUAUGUGUGUUGAGUUAUGGUAUAGCCUGGUCGCAUCCAAAUUGUUGUCCUAUGCUGAACCUGACCUCCAAUAGGUCCUAACUCUGCAAUUGUUAGC
rnacentral:lncRNA from 1 species